GGAUGGAUCAGCAUGAAGAAAGCAACUAAACUAGUUCUUCAGAUGAGGGAGAGAUAUGCAACGGAUAGAGAGAAAUUUGCAGAAAGAAUUGCAAAUUCCUUGUUGAAUGAGGCUAAGACACGAAGAACAAAGGAUAAUACCUGUGUAAUUUUCUUAGAUUUUGAUACUUGUAGAGUUGAAUCAUAGUGUGAAUUAUAAAUAGU